GAUGAACGCUGGCGGCGUGCCUAAUACAUGCAAGUCGAGCGAACGGACGAGAAGCUUGCUUCUCUGAUGUUAGCGGCGGACGGGUGAGUAACACGUGGAUAACCUACCUAUAAGACUGGGAUAACUUCGGGAAACCGGAGCUAAUACCGGAUAAUAUUUUGAACCGCAUGGUUCAAAAGUGAAAGACGGUCUUGCUGUUACUUAUAGAUGGAUCCGCGCUGCAUUAGCUAGUUGGUAAGGUAACGGCUUACCAAGGCAACGAUGCAUAGCCGACCUGUGAGGGUGAUCGGCCACACUAGAGCUGAGACACGGUCCAGACGCCUACGGGAGGCAGCAGUAGGGAAUCUGCCGCAAUGGGCGAAAGCCUGACGGAGCGACGGCGCGUGAGUGAUGAAGAUCUUCGGAGCGUAAUACUCUGUUAUUAGGGAAGAACAUAUGUGUAAGUAACUGUGCACAUCGUGACGGUACCGAAUCAGAAAGCCACGGCUAACUACGUG
rnacentral:rRNA from 1 species